CCUUUGACGUUAGCGGCGGACGGGUGAGUAACACGUGGGUAACCUACCUAUAAGACUGGGAUAACUUCGGGAAACCGGAGCUAAUACCGGAUAAUAUUUCGAACCGCAUGGUUCGAUAGUGAAAGAUGGUUUUGCUAUCACUUAUAGAUGGACCCGCGCCGUAUUAGCUAGUUGGUAAGGUAACGGCUUACCAAGGCGACGAUACGUAGCCGACCUGAGAGGGUGAUCGGCCACACUGGAACUGAGACACGGUCCAGACUCCUACGGGAGGCAGCAGUAGGGAAUCUUCCGCAAUGGGCGAAAGCCUGACGGAGCAACGCCGCGUGAGUGAUGAAGGUCUUCGGAUCGUAAAACUCUGUUAUUAGGGAAGAACAUACGUGUAAGUAACUAUGCACGUCUUGACGGUACCUAAUCAGAAAGCCACGGCUAACUACGUGCCAGCAGCCGCGGUAAUACGUAGGUGGCAAGCGUUAUCCGGAAUUAUUGGGCGUAAAGCGCGCGUAGGCGGUUUUUUAAGUCUGAUGUGAAAGCCCACGGCUCAACCGUGGAGGGUCAUUGGAAACUGGAAAACUUGAGUGCAGAAGAGGAAAGUGGAAUUCCAUGUGUAGCGGUGAAAUGCGCAGAGAUAUGGAGGAACAC
rnacentral:rRNA from 1 species